CCUCCACUUGUUUUGGUAGAUAAAGUUUUAUUGGAAUAGUCAUGAUCAUUUGCUUACACUCUCUUCAUGCUUUUGCUUUAUAAUUGUAGAGGACUGGGGACCAUCAGAUGGGGCCAGUGAGCUUUAAUGAGCCUGCCAUGUUGGAGGCGCCAUCUUCCUCACCAGCCAGCAGCAGUGCGUUCGCAGUGCAGGAGAACAGCAGGAAUGUGACCUGGCCCAGAAAACGACCCACUGCAGAGACACAACGGAGGCCAUCUGCUGGGAACGGAGCCUUCCCACCACCGCUGCAGGGACUUUUCUUGUGCCUGCAUGGCCUUCCUCUCUUCUUGGCAUGACCUAGCGGGGCUGCUCUGCCCUGGUAAGGAUGAUUCUUCGGCUCCUUUUGCUUCUCGAAAACUUGGGCUCUGCAU